AUACGGAGGGUGCAAGCGUUAUCCGGAAUCAUUGGGUUUAAAGGGUCCGUAGGCGGGCAAAUAAGUCAGAGGUGAAAUCCCACAGCUCAACUGUGGAACUGCCUUUGAUACUGUUUGUCUUGAGUUAUAGUGAAGUAGAUAGAAUGUGUAGUGUAGCGGUGAAAUGCAUAGAUAUUACAUAGAAUACCGAUUGCGAAGGCAGUCCACUAACUAUUGACUGACGCUAAUGGACGAAAGCGUGGGGAGCGAACAGGAUUAGAUACCCUAGUAGUCC
rnacentral:rRNA from 1 species